rnacentral:rRNA from 1 species
AACGUAGGAGGCAAGCGUUAUCCGAAUUUACUGGGCGUAAAGCGUGUGCAGGCGGCUCGAUAAGUUGGAUGUGAAAUCUCUUGGCUCAACUGGGAGAGGUCGUUCAAAACUAUCGGGCUCGAGGGCAGUAGAGGGAGGUGGAAUUCCGGGUGUAGUGGUGAAAUGCGUAGAUAUCCGGAGGAACACCAGUGGCGAAAGCGGCCUCCUGGACUGCACCUGACGCUCAUACACGAAAGCUAGGGGAGCGAACGGG